rnacentral:rRNA from 1 species
UACGUAGGGGGCAAGCGUUGUCCGGAUUUAUUGGGCGUAAAGCGCGUGUAGGCGGCCAGAAAAGUCCGCUGUGAAAACUCGAGGCUCAACCUCGAGCUGUCGGUGGAAACUUUCUGGCUAGAGUCCGGAAGAGGAGAAUGGAAUUCCUGGUGUAGCGGUGAAAUGCGUAGAUAUCAGGAAGAACACCCGUGGCGAAGGCGGUUCUCUGGGACGGUACUGACGCUGAGACGCGAAAGCGUGGGGAGCGAACAGG